rnacentral:rRNA from 1 species
CAAUAGCGUAUAUUAAAGUUGUUGCAGUUAAAAAGCUCGUAGUUGGAUUUCUGGUAGGAGUGACCGUUCCGAACUUGAUUGUUCGUGUAUUGUGUUUUCUCCAGCCAUCCUUGUGGAGAACUUUUCUUGCAUUAAUUUGUAGGGAUUGGGACCCGCAUCGUUUACUGUGAAAAAAUUAGAGUGUUUAAAGCAGGCAAUCGCUUGAAUACAUUAGCAUGGAAUAAUAAGAUAGGACUUUGGUACUAUUUUGUUGGUUUGCAUACCAAAUUAAUGAUCAACAGGAACAGUUUGAGGAUAUUCGUAUGAACAUGUCAGAGGUGAAAUUCUUGGAUUUUGAUCAGACGAACUACUGCGAAAGCGUUUAUCAAGGAUGUUUUCAUUGA